rnacentral:rRNA from 1 species
GGGUUGUGAGGUUAAGCGACUAAGCGUACACGGUGGAUGCCCCGCAGUCAGAGGCGAUGAAGGACGUGCUAAUCUGCGAAAAGCGUCGGUAAGGUGAUAUGAACCGUUAUAACCGGCGAUGUCCGAAUGGGGAAACCCAGUGUGAUUCGUCACACUAUCGUUAACUGAAUACAUAGGUUAACGAGGCGAACCGGGGGAACUGAAACAUCUAAGUACCCCGAGGAAAAGAAAUCAACCGAGAUUCCCCCAGUAGCGGCGAGCGAACGGGGAGCAGCCCAGAGUCUGAAUCAGCUUGUGUGUUAGUGGAACGGUCUGGAAAGUCCGACGGUACAGGGUGAUAGUCCCGUACACCAAAAUGCACAGGUUGUGAACUCGAAGAGUAGGGCGGGACACGUGGUAUCCUGUCUGAAUAUGGGGGGACCAUCCUCCAAGGCUAAAUACUCCUGACUGACCGAUAGUGAACCAGUACCGUGAGGGAAAGGCGAAAAGAACCCCGGCGAGGGGAGUGAAAAAGAACCUGAAACCGUGUACGUACAAGCAGUGGGAGCACCUUCGGGUGUGACUGCGUACCUUUUGUAUAAUGGGUCAGCGACUUAUAUUCUGUAGCAAGGUUAACCGUAUAGGGGAGCCGCAGGGAAACCGAGUCUUAACUGGGCGUUAAGUUGCAGGGUAUAGACCCGAAACCCGGUGAUCUAGCCAUGGGCAGGUUGAAGGUUGGGUAACACUAACUGGAGGACCGAACCGACUAAUGUUGAAAAAUUAGCGGAUGACUUGUGGCUGGGGGUGAAAGGCCAAUCAAACCGGGAGAUAGCUGGUUCUCCCGAAAGCUAUUUAGGUAGCGCCUCGUGAACUCAUCUUCGGGGGUAGAGCACUGUUUCGGCUAGGGGGUCAUCCCGACUUACCAACCCGAUGCAAACUACGAAUACCGAAGAAUGUUAUCACGGGAGACACACGGCGGGUGCUAACGUCCGUCGUGAAGAGGGAAACAACCCAGACCGCCAGCUAAGGUCCCAAAGUCAUGGUUAAGUGGGAAACGAUGUGGGAAGGCACAGACAGCCGUGAUGUUGGCUUAGAAGCAGCCAUCAUUUAAAGAAAGCGUAAUAGCUCACUGGUCGAGUCGGCCUGCGCGGAAGAUGUAACGGGGCUAAACCAUGCACCGAAGCUGCGGCAGCGACACUAUGUGUUGUUGGGUAGGGGAGCGUUCUGUAAGCCUGCGAAGGUGACCUGUGAGGGUUGCUGGAGGUAUCAGAAGUGCGAAUGCUGACAUAAGUAACGAUAAAGCGGGUGAAAAGCCCGCUCGCCGGAAGACCAAGGGUUCCUGUCCAACGUUAAUCGGGGCAGGGUGAGUCGACCCUAAGGCGAGGCCGAAAGGCGUAGUCGAUGGGAAACAGGUUAAUAUUCCUGUACUUGGUGUUACUGCGAAGGGGGGACGGAGAAGGCUAUGUUAGCCGGGCGACGGUUGUCCCGGUUUAAGCAUGUAGGCUGGUUGUCCAGGCAAAUCCGGAUAAUCAAGGCUGAGGUGUGAUGACGAGGCACUACGGUGCUGAAGUAACAAAUGCCCUGCUUCCAGGAAAAGCCUCUAAGCAUCAGGUAACAUUAAAUCGUACCCCAAACCGACACAGGUGGUCAGGUAGAGAAUACCAAGGCGCUUGAGAGAACUCGGGUGAAGGAACUAGGCAAAAUGGUGCCGUAACUUCGGGAGAAGGCACGCUGGUGUGUAGGUGAAGUCCCUGCGGAUGGAGCUGAGACCAGUCGAAGAUACCAGCUGGCUGCAACUGUUUAUUAAAAACACAGCACUGUGCAAACACGAAAGUGGACGUAUACGGUGUGACGCCUGCCCGGUGCCGGAAGGUUAAUUGAUGGGGUUAUCCGUAAGGAGAAGCUCUUGAUCGAAGCCCCGGUAAACGGCGGCCGUAACUAUAACGGUCCUAAGGUAGCGAAAUUCCUUGUCGGGUAAGUUCCGACCUGCACGAAUGGCGUAAUGAUGGCCAGGCUGUCUCCACCCGAGACUCAGUGAAAUUGAACUCGCUGUGAAGAUGCAGUGUACCCGCGGCAAGACGGAAAGACCCCGUGAACCUUUACUAUAGCUUGACACUGAACAUUGAGCCUUGAUGUGUAGGAUAGGUGGGAGGCUUUGAAGCGUGGACGCCAGUCUGCGUGGAGCCAACCUUGAAAUACCACCCUUUAAUGUUUGAUGUUCUAACGUUGGCCCCUGACCGGGGUUGCGGACAGUGUCUGGUGGGUAGUUUGACUGGGGCGGUCUCCUCCCAAAGCGUAACGGAGGAGCACGAAGGUUAGCUAAUCCUGGUCGGACAUCAGGAGGUUAGUGCAAUGGCAUAAGCUAGCUUGACUGCGAGCGUGACGGCGCGAGCAGGUGCGAAAGCAGGUCAUAGUGAUCCGGUGGUUCUGAAUGGAAGGGCCAUCGCUCAACGGAUAAAAGGUACUCCGGGGAUAACAGGCUGAUACCGCCCAAGAGUUCAUAUCGACGGCGGUGUUUGGCACCUCGAUGUCGGCUCAUCACAUCCUGGGGCUGAAGUAGGUCCCAAGGGUAUGGCUGUUCGCCAUUUAAAGUGGUACGCGAGCUGGGUUUAGAACGUCGUGAGACAGUUCGGUCCCUAUCUGCCGUGGGCGCUGGAGAAUUGAGGGGGGCUGCUCCUAGUACGAGAGGACCGGAGUGGACGCAUCACUGGUGUUCGGGUUGUCAUGCCAAUGGCACUGCCCGGUAGCUAAAUGCGGAAGAGAUAAGUGCUGAAAGCAUCUAAGCACGAAACUUGCCCCGAGAUGAGUUCUCCCUGAGACUUUAAGUCUCCUGAAGGAACGUUGAAGACGACGACGUUGAUAGGCCGGGUGUGUAAGCGCAGCGAUGCGUUGAGCUAACCGGUACUAAUGAACCGUGAGGCUUAACCUUACAACGCCGAAG